rnacentral:hammerhead_ribozyme from 17 species
CAAGCGUCUGGGGUAAAAGGAGUUGCUGCCAUCAGCCCCCCCACUGAUGAGUCUUAGGUGACUCUGAGACGAAACGCAAC